UACGUAGGGUGCGAGCGUUAAUCGGAAUUACUGGGCGUAAAGCGUGCGCAGGCGGUUUUGUAAGCCAGAUGUGAAAUCCCCGGGCUUAACCUGGGAAUGGCAUUUGGGACUGCAAGGCUCGAGUGCGGCAGAGGAGACUGGAAUUCCUGGUGUAGCAGUGAAAUGCGUAGAUAUCAGGAGGAACACCGGUGGCGAAGGCGGUUCUCUGGGCCUGUACUGACGCUGAGGAACGAACGCGUGGGGAGCGAACAGG
rnacentral:rRNA from 1 species